AACGUAGGUCACAAGCGUUGUCCGGAAUUACUGGGUGUAAAGGGAGCGCAGGCGGGAGAACAAGUUGGAAGUGAAAUCCAUGGGCUUAACCCAUGAACUGCUUUCAAAACUGUUCUUCUUGAGUAGUGCAGAGGUAGGCGGAAUUCCCGGUGUAGCGGUGGAAUGCGUAGAUAUCGGGAGGAACACCAGUGGCGAAGGCGGCCUACUGGGCACCAACUGACGCUGAGGCUCGAAAGUGUGGGUAGCAAACAGG
rnacentral:rRNA from 1 species